rnacentral:rRNA from 1 species
AGGAUGAAAAUCGGACUUAGUGAUCCGGUGGUUCUGCGUGGAAGGGCCAUCGCUCAACGGAUAAAAGCUACCCUGGGGAUAACAGGCUUAUCUCCCCCAAGAGUCCACAUCGACGGGGAGGUUUGGCUCCUCGAUGUCGGCUCAUCACAUCCUGGGGCUGUAGUAGGUCCCAAGGGUUGGGCUGUUCGCCCAUUAAAGUGGUACGCGAGCUGGGUU